rnacentral:rRNA from 1 species
GGGGAAUUUUGGACAAUGGGCGCAAGCCUGAUCCAGCAAUGCCGCGUGUGUGAAGAAGGCCUUCGGGUUGUAAAGCACUUUUGUCCGGAAAGAAAACCUCGUGGUUAAUACCCGUGGGGGAUGACGGUACCGGAAGAAUAAGCACCGGCUAACUACGUGCCAGCAGCCGCGGUAAUACGUAGGGUGCAAGCGUUAAUCGGAAUUACUGGGCGUAAAGCGUGCGCAGGCGGUUCGCUAAGACAGAUGUGAAAUCCCCGGGCUUAACCUGGGAACUGCAUUUGUGACUGGCGGGCUAGAGUAUGGCAGAGGGGGGUAGAAUUCCACGUGUAGCAGUGAAAUGCGUAGAGAUGUGGAGGAAUACCGAUGGCGAAGGCAGCCCCCUGGGCCAAUACUGACGCUCAUGCACGAAAGCGUGGGGAGCAAAC